rnacentral:rRNA from 1 species
UAGAGUUUGAUCCUGGCUCAGGAUGAACGCUGGCGGCGUGCUAAUACAUGCAAGUCGAACGCACAGCGAAAGGUGCUUGCACCCUUCAAGUGAGUGGCGAACGGGUGAGUAACACGUGGAUAACCUACCUCAAGGUUGGGGAUAACAUUUGGAAACAGAUGCUAAUACCGAAUAAAACUUAGUAUCGCAUGAUACCAGGUUAAAAGGCGCUACGGCGUCACCUAGAGAUGGAUCCGCGGUGCAUUAGUUAGUUGGUGGGGUAAAGGCUUACCAAGACAAUGAUGCAUAGCCGAGUUGAGAGACUGAUCGGCCACAUUGGGACUGAGACACGGCCCAAACUCCUACGGGAGGCUGCAGUAGGGAAUCUUCCACAAUGGGCGAAAGCCUGAUGGAGCAACGCCGCGUGUGUGAUGAAGGCUUUCGGGUCGUAAAGCACUGUUGUAUGGGAAGAACAGCUAGAGUAGGGAAUGACUUUAGUUUGACGGUACCAUACCAGAAAGGGACGGCUAAAUACGUGCCAGCAGCCGCGGUAAUACGUAUGUCCCGAGCGUUAUCCGGAUUUAUUGGGCGUAAAGCGAGCGCAGACGGUUAAUUAAGUCUGAUGUGAAAGCCCGGAGCUCAACUCCGGAAAGGCAUUGGAAACUGGUUAACUUGAGUGCAGUAGAGGUAAGUGGAACUCCAUGUGUAGCGGUGGAAUGCGUAGAUAUAUGGAAGAACACCAGCGGCGAAGGCGGCUUACUGGACUGUAACUGACGUUGAGGCUCGAAAGUGUGGGUAGCAAACAGGAUUAGAUACCCUGGUAGUCCAC